UACGUAGGGGGCAAGCGUUGUCCGGAUUUAUUGGGCGUAAAGAGCGUGUAGGCGGCCAGGUAGGUCAGCUGUGAAAACUCGAGGCUCAACCUCGAGACGUCGGUUGAAACCACCUGGCUAGAGUCCGGAAGAGGAGAGUGGAAUUCCUGGUGUAGCGGUGAAAUGCGCAGAUAUCAGGAGGAACACCAAUAGCGAAGGCAGCUCGCUGGGACGGUACUGACGCUAAGGCGCGAAAGCGUGGGGAGCGAACAGG
rnacentral:rRNA from 1 species